rnacentral:rRNA from 1 species
GAUGAACGCUGGCGGCGUGCCUAACACAUGCAAGUCGAGCGAUCUUCUUCGGAAGAGAGCGGCGGACGGGUGAGUAACGCGUGGGUAACCUGCCCUGUACACACGGAUAACAUACCGAAAGGUAUGCUAAUACGGGAUAAUAUGCUUUUAUCGCAUGGUAGAAGUAUCAAAGCUCCGGCGGUACAGGGUGGACCCGCGUCUGAUUAGCUAGUUGGUAAGGUAACGGCUUACCAAGGCGACGAUCAGUAGCCGACCUGAGAGGGUGAUCGGCCACAUUGGAACUGAGACACGGUCCAAACUCCUACGGGAGGCAGCAGUGGGGAAUAUUGCACAAUGGGCGAAAGCCUGAUGCAGCAACGCCGCGUGAGCGAUGAAGGCCUUCGGGUCGUAAAGCUCUGUCCUCAAGGAAGAUAAUGACGGUACUUGAGGAGGAAGCCCCGGCUAACUACGUGCCAGCCGCCGCGGUAAAAC